CUGUCAUCAAUAUAAUUAACCGUCAUUGAUGAAUUGACGCCAACUUUUUUCGCGCCAUUUUAUAAUUUUCAUUUCCCGCGAAAAUUUUCAGGUUCGAUGGCGUAUUUCCACCAUGUAUACUUUUUUUGGUGGGAAAUGUGGAUGAAUAAUAGAUGACGGUGUUUAGAUGGCGAAUAUGGGGUUAUAAUGACGGUCAUUAUAGUGGCGGUCUUAAG
rnacentral:lncRNA from 1 species